rnacentral:rRNA from 1 species
UGCGUGAAAACUAAAUAAAAGCAGUGCUAAAAGACUGCUUACGAAGAUACAAUGAAACCUAAAGCCUAUGAUGCAUGCAAGCACAUCAAAAUGAAUCAACUUCCAAAUAAUUAUGAGAUCAAUAAAACUAGACUAGGUCUGUAUAAAAAAUUACAGAAAUGCAAUACGAAAAGGGAUAAAUAAUCAAGAUGGAGAUGCAUGAGAACACAUACCAAUCAAACAAUAUACUAGACUCUGGUCGAAAGAAGAAACAAUGUGAAUGUCCUCAAAGGAAUUCCUCUCUAAACUUGAGAUUGUAAUGUAAUUUUCCAAUUACAAUUUGAAGCCAUCUUAUUAGGAGACCAACCUCAAGUGCGAAGAUUGAAGUUCAAUGUUCAAAAACACAGUUUUAUGAUGUGCGCAGUCCAAGAGCACUUAUGAUUAAUCGGAUUAACAGCUGAUUAAAAGAAUUACGCGAAGUUAUGCAUUUUUGAAUUUUUUAAAUAUAUAUUUAUUAUUUAUCAUAUGUUAAAAUAUAUAAAAUUCAUGAAAAUAGAUAAUAUACUAUGAAAAACCAACAAAAUUGUAAUUUAACGAUCAAUUAGCUACUUAAAACUUCAAUCCUUACAUCAAAAGUAACUAGAUAAUAACUAGUAACUAGUUAAAGUUCAAUUCAGACAUCAAACAUAACUAGAUACUCAAAUAAAAGUUGUUAAAUUAAACACUUAAACUAAAACUAAAUGUCCAUAACCCAAAGAAAAAUCAUCUAGUUUUCCUCCUCAUCCUCAUAACGAACGAGAAGUUUCGUCAUGAUCGUUGGAGAAAGAAGUUUCAUCAAACUAAGGAAUGAACGAUGAUGGCCGAAGGCUUGUCGCAGUCGCUAUGUAUGCACGAGUGCAAAGAAGAAAGAGUCACGAUAUUUGGGAAAAGAUAACGGCUAAGUUUUGUUUUACUUUAGCUAGUUGGAUCAAGUUUUGGAGGUAAACAGGUUCAAUCCCCAAUUAAAAUUUAAAAAAAACACUUGCAUAAACAAAUAUGUGGAUGCUUAGUUAAAAUUAGCUAAUUAAGCAGGUGUCCGCAUAAUUGAGCGCAUAGCUCAAAUAAUGUGCGUUUUUAUCCUGCUUCAUCUUAAGCAGACACUUAAAACUUUUUUUAGAGCGCUGUUAAAUUUUGAGGAUUUUGGUAAUGAUCUUCAUUUUCACACUGGUAUGGCUUGUCUAAUUCGUGUAUAGUUUCUUAUACAUCUCAAGAUUGACUAACCCUUGUUUCCUAGUGUAAUUUGAACUUCUGUAGUUUUUUUUUGUUCAUUAGUUUAUCGACGUAGUCGCCCUAUAACUUUGGGAGAAAGAAGGCCUACUCACAGAACAAAACAUAACUCAAAAUUCUCCACAAAAGAAUCAACAAGAAAUCUUUUACCAUGCAUUGUUGUUUAAACAAUCACCUAAUCCAAAAGCGUAAUGAAUUGCACAUUGCUUCAUCAAUCAUCAAUUUUAGUCACAUCAAUUGCUCCCCCAUAACUCAUAAUAGUGACAGUUUACCAAAAACACAGGUCUUUGCAAAGUCGUAAAACCAUCUAUGGGGGCUGACGCCUACCUAGUGGCGGAAGGUCAAGGAAGUCGGUGACCUGAUGAGAGGAGAGUCGGUGACCGAAACCCUGUGAAGGAACUAUAUAAUGGUCCUAAGGUAGUGAAAUUCCUUAUUGGUAAGUUUCGACCCACACGAAAGGCAUAACGAUCUGGGCACUGCCUCAGAGAGAGGCUUGAUGAAAUAGACACGUCUGUGAAGAUACAGACUACCUGAUAAGAAGACCCUAUGAAGCUUCACUAUUCCCUGAGAAUAACUUUAGGCCCCUGUGCAACUUAGGUGGAAGGCAGAGAAGGUCUCCUUACGGAGGGGCUCGAGUCAUCAGUGAGAUACCACUUUGGAAUAGCUAGAAUUCUAACCUUAUGUCAAGACCUACGAGCUAAGGGAUAGUCUCAGGCAUACAGUUUCUAUGGGACAUAAGCCUCCCAAAAGGUAACAGAGAUGUGCAAAGGUUUCCUCGAACUGGACAGAGAUUAGCCCUCGAGUGCAAAGGCAUAAGGAAGCUGGACUGCAAGACUCACCCAUUGAGCAAGGACGAACGUCGGCCUUAGUGAUCUGACAGUGCCGAGUGGAAGGGAAAUCGCUCAAUGGAUAAAAGUUACUCUAGGGAUAAUAGGUCGAUCUUCCCUAAGAGUUCACAUCAACGAGAAGGUUUGGCACCUCGAUGUCGGCUCUUCGUCAUUUGGGGUUGUAGCAUGUUCUAAGGGUUGGGCUGUUCGCCCAUUAAAGUGAUAUGAGAGCUGGAUUCAGAAUGUUGUGAGACAAUUCGUUCCAUAUCCGGUGAGGCGUUAGAGCAUUAAGAGGACCUUUCCCUAGUACGAGAGGAUCGAGAAGGACCAUCUCUGGUGUACCAAUUAUCGAGUCCACAGUAAACACUAGAUACUCAAAUGCGGAGCUAAUAACUGCUCAAAGAAUCUAAGUAGUAAGCCCACCCCAAGAUAAAUGCUCUCCUAUUCCGACAGAAAACACCAGUUUUUCUCGAAGCUUCUUGCUCACAUCUCUCAUCAAAAGGUGCUACCCUAUAAUCUCUUUAGCAAAUCCCCCGCUA